rnacentral:antisense_RNA from 1 species
UGUGGGAGCGGGCUUGCUCGCGAUAUAGGCGACGCGGUGUGUCUGUAACACCGAGUCUGUCCCAUCGCGAGCAAGCCCGCUCCCACA